UGAAUUCUAUGGUUAGUAUUCUUUAAGAGAUUGUCUCAUCUAAAACUAAUUUUAGAAGCUCUCUUAAUUAUGUGCUAUUUUUAUGCUUUGAUAUUAAAGCACUAAAGGGCAAGGCUAGAAGAAAACUUUUAGUUCUGUAGGAGUGGUGCCAGUUGGCUACAAUCUGUUUUACAAAAAAAUAGAGGAAUGCUGACAAAUCAACUUUUCAUUAAUUUUGUGCUCUUCAUCGUGAUGACUGUGUAAAACAAUAUUCAACUAUUCAAGAAUAUUAGCUGGAAUUUAGUUGAAAAUGGAGUGCCAUAGUGCUGAAAAUAUUUCUGAGGAAGUAAACAAAUGUAUUACUUUGUUAAAAAUGGUCAAUGGAGAUUCUGAAAAAUUUGCAGCUUUAUUUAUGGUUACAAAAUUAGUAAAUGCAAAAAAUUGUUCAUCAGCUGCCAAAAAAUUACUUUUUGAAGCAAUUGGUGCAAAGUUUAUCAGAAAGUUAUUAAUCAGCAAUAAUGUGCCUGUUGAUUGUCCAGCAGAAGUAUAUAAAUCUGUAGCCUUAUCUAUUCUUUCUGCAUUUUGUAGAGAUUCAGUAUUGGCUUCUCAUCCUGAUAUGAUUGGACAUACCCCUGCACUUUUAGAAAUAGUUGAAAACGCAGAUGAAGAUGCCCCUGACGAUACAUUAAUAAUUGUAAGUGAAGCAUACAGUUGUCUACAAAAUAUUGCUAAGUUUUAUCCUGGACAAAAAGUAUUAAUUGAACAAAAAGCUAUUCCAAAAAUGUGUGAAAUAUAUGCAGAGAAGAGUUUCAAGACAGAUGAAGCUCUAAACAUCUUAGUAACUCUAGUUAAUGAGUUUGGACCUAAAGUUUGGGAUGCAAAUAAUACAGUGCCAUUUCAUGCAAUUAUUAAUAAGAUUGCUUUAGAUUUUGAAACUGAUUAUGAUGAAAGAAAAUUUAAACUUUGCUCUAUAUUGCAGGCUCUGCUUGCUUCUUGUAGACAAGAUACCAUUACUGAAAGUGCUAAAAAUGAAUCUUGGCCUCAAAGCAUAUAUAAAGGAUUAAAUGAUAUCCUUACAUCAAAAAUUGGAAAGGUUCAAAGAGAUCCAGCAUUAAAACUUUCAUCUAUAAUGUUGGAGUUAUUAGGUGUUGACUGGGCUUUAUCUGAUGAAGAAAAACCUAAAACCUUCUUUCUUUUGUUAAUUCAGCUAGCAUCGAUCGAAGUUAAAAUGCAGAUAGAAGGAAAACAAAUAAAGACUGUAAUAGUUUCUGCUGAUCUUAUUGUAGCAUGUUUUAUGAUUUUAGAAAUAUCUUUAUCUUAUAUUAUAACUGACCAAUUAGAUUUGGAACAAAAGGAAAAACAAUCUUUAUAUACAGCAUUAAAAGGAGCAUUUGCAGCUGUGCUUGGACUUCUUACAUCAUUAUCAAAAAUGAAGGAAUUAACAGACAUAAAAGAACGUAUAUUUGUCUGUGCUAUGGUAAGAGUUUUAGCUGCUUGGUUAACUCAAGAAACAUCUGCAUUGCGCUGUCAAGUUCAUGCUAUUCUACCCUUUGUUUUAACCAUUGCUAAUGAUACCUUUUAUAAACAUCGUAAUAAAAAAAUUGCCAAAAAAGCUAUAUCAAAAACAUCAGAAAUAAUUUCUGAAGAAUCUGAAAAAUGUGAUCCAUUAAGUGAUAUUGAUGUGUUGAGAUUACUAUUACCAGCUUUGUGUCAUCUUGCUAUUGAAGAAGAUGCUAGAAAAAUAUUAUUAAAACAUAAACAAGAUGAAGUAUUAUUUGAAUGUUUGUCUUAUCAUUGGUCCAUUGUUCAUUAUAAAAAACCACCUGUACCAAAAGCUGAACGACUUAAAGCUCUUAAAGAACCUAUAAAAGAAUUAGAACCAUAUAUUUUAGAAGAAAUGAAGGAUUCGAGAAGUGCUAUGGUUUCAAUUUGUAAUAUUCUAAUGAAUAUAACCGUUUUGGAAGCAAAGUUAGUUGAAGAAUCCACAACAUUUAUUAAUUUGCUUAAAUUCAUCUUUGACAGUUUACCAGAACUUAAACAAAGAUCAGAAAACUUAGUUCUUCAUGGUAACUUAGCUAUUCUUGGACUUUUAUUAAUGAAACAACAAGCUAAACGUAUAAAGAAAAAUGAUUUUUCAAUAUGCCGUUACAUUCAAGCCACUAUUCGAUUUUUAUGGGAUGCUUACAUGGUGGAUGAAAGCAAUGAUCCAACAGCAUUAGUAGUAAAUAUAUUGUAUAAGGAACAUUGGAUGGAAAUUAUGGAAUUAUGGUUCUUAGGAAUGCAAACAAUGGCUGGUGUAUUGCAAAUGGUUCCUUGGCUCUCAGAAUUUGCAAUUGAAUCAGGUUGGACAGAAGGAAUCAUAGAUAGUUUAAAGAAAGUUAAGAUUGGAGGACUACAGCCGAAUGUUAAAUCAGCAUUUGAAGAUUUAUUAUGUCAUUUAGUUAAAGCUGAUACAAGUGUUGCAUCUGUAUUAAAGAAAGCAGGUGCUUUGACCGUUUGCAGAAAUCAUCGUAUGAUGGAACUUGGAAAACAUUUGUUUGAUCAUAUAGUUUGAGCGCGAAUCAAUAGUCUUUUAAGAGAUCUUCUUUAUACAUUUUAUAAUGUUUCUGAAGACCUCUUCUUGAGCCUCUUGCUUAUUUUAAUCACAGAGAACAGCAUCUUCAAGAAAAUCUUCACACGCUAAUUGUAAAGAAUUUUAAAUUAUCCAAUAAGUCUGUUGUUGGCACAACUGAUUUUGUUGUGAUUACAGCAGUGUCCAUGGAUGCCACUUCAAGAGUCCAAUUAGUCAGCUUGAGUAUUUGAAUGAAUCAAUGCAUUUUAUAGCUUGCAGAGGAACUUACUAAGGAGUAUGGAUUACCACAAGAUUGUUCCAACAAGAUCGUCUCAUCCUAUCUUAAGCAGUUC